rnacentral:rRNA from 1 species
AUGCGCCGCCGCGUCCUCCUCCGCCUCAGGCCACCGGCGCGGCGAUGCCUCUGCGCGGCGCUCUCGACCGCGGCCUCGACGACGGCGGCCGCGCCCAGCGCGUACCGCCUGCUGGCCCUCCUCCGCGGCUGCGUGGCCCCGCCGCACCUCCCGCUGGGCCUCCGCAUCCACGCGCGCGCCGUCACCUCGGGCCUCCUCGCGGCCGCCGACGGGCCGGCGGCCGCGCUCCAGACGCGCCUCAUCGGCAUGUACGUCCUCGCGCGGCGCUUCCGGGACGCCGUCGCGGUGUUCUCCUCGCUCCCGCGCGCCGCCGCCGCGUCGGCGCUCCCCUGGAACUGGCUCAUCCGCGGGCUCACCAUGGCCGGGCACCACCGCUUCGCCGUGCUCUUCUACGUCAAGAUGUGGGCCCACCCGUCCGCGCCGCGGCCGGACGGCCACACCCUCCCCUACGUCGUCAAGUCGUGCGCCGCGCUCGGCGCGCUCGCCCUCGGCCGCCUCGUGCACCGCACCGCGCGGGCGCUCGGGCUCGACCGCGACAUGUACGUCGGGAGCGCGCUCAUCAAGAUGUACGCGGACGCCGGCCUCCUCGGGGGCGCGCGCGAGGUGUUCGACGGAAUGGCCGAGCGGGACUGCGUCCUGUGGAACGUGAUGAUGGACGGGUACGUCAAGGGCGGCGACGUGGCCAGCGCGGUGGGGCUGUUCGGAGCCAUGAGGGCGUCCCGCUGCGACCCCAACUUCGCGACCCUGGCGUGCUUUCUGUCUGUGUGCGCCACGGAGACUGACUUGCUCUCUGGGUUGCAGCUCCACACCCUGGCGGUGAAGUAUGGGCUAGAGCCAGAGGUCGCCGUGGCUAACACGUUGGUGUCAAUGUAUGCCAAAUGCCAGUGCUUGGAUGAUGCGUGGAGGCUGUUUGACCUGAUGCCACGAGACGAUUUGGUAACCUGGAACGGGAUGAUAUCUGGGUGCGUUCAGAACGGGCUUGUCGACGAUGCGUUGAGAUUGUUCUGUGACAUGCAGAAGAGUGGUCUUCAGCCUGAUUCAGUUACACUGGCGAGCUUGUUACCAGCUUUGACUGAUUUGAAUGGUUUCAAGCAGGGGAAGGAGAUACAUGGCUACAUUGUCAGGAACUGUGUGCAUUUGGAUGUCUUCUUGGUGAGUGCUUUGGUGGACAUAUAUUUCAAGUGCAGGGAUGUGAGGAUGGCACAGAAUGUCUUUGAUGCUACAAAGACCAUCGAUGUGGUUAUUGGUAGCACAAUGAUCUCGGGUUAUGUUCUUAAUGGGAUGAGUGAAGCGGCAGUGAAAAUGUUUCGUUACCUCUUGGAAGUGGGCAUCAAACCAAAUGCCGUCAUGGUAGCUAGCACGUUGCCAGCAUGUGCUUGCAUGGCUGCUAUGAAGCUUGGUCAGGAGCUCCAUGGGUAUGUUCUGAAAAAUGCAUAUGAAGGAAGGUGUUAUGUGGAGAGUGCAUUAAUGGACAUGUAUGCGAAAUGUGGUAGACUUGACCUUAGCCAUUAUAUCUUCUCUAAGAUGUCUGCUAAGGAUGAGGUGACAUGGAACUCGAUGAUUUCAAGCUUUGCACAGAAUGGGGAACCUGAAGAAGCUCUUGAGCUGUUUCGUCAAAUGAGUAUGGAAGGAGUGAAGUACAGCAAUGUGACUAUAUCUUCCAUCCUAUCAGCAUGUGCAGGCUUACCAGCUAUAUAUUAUGGAAAGGAGAUCCAUGGUAUCAUCAUAAAGGGUCCCAUAAGAGCAGAUGUGUUUGCUGAGAGUGCUCUCAUAGAUAUGUAUGGCAAAUGUGGGAACUUAGAAUUGGCUUUUCGUGUUUUUGAAUUCAUGCCUGAGAAGAAUGAAGUGUCAUGGAAUAGUAUAAUCUCUGCCUACGGGGCUCAUGGCCUUGUUGAAGAGUCGGUGAGUUUAUUAUGCCGCAUGCAAGAGGAAGGAUUCAACGCAGACCAUGUAACAUUCCUUGCUUUGAUAUCUGCUUGUGCUCACGCUGGGCAGGUUCAAGAAGGACUCCGACUUUUUAAAUGCAUGACUGAGGAAUAUCAGAUUGCACCUCGAGUGGAACACUUAGCUUGCAUGGUUGACUUAUAUAGCCGGGCUGGGAAGUUGGAUAAAGCCAUGCAAUUUAUUGCUGACAUGCCUUUCAAGCCGGAUGCUGGCAUUUGGGGUGCUCUUCUCCACGCUUGCCGUGUGCAUCGCGAUGUUGAACUUGCAGAGAUUGCUUCUCAAGAACUAUUCAAGUUGGAUCCUCAUAAUUCAGGUUAUUAUGUGCUCAUGUCCAAUAUCAAUGCUGUUGCUGGACGGUGGGAUGGUGUCUCAAAAAUGAGAAGAUUGAUGAAGGAUAAGAAAGUUCAGAAGAUACCUGGUUACAGCUGGGUAGAUGUUAAUAAUACCAGCCAUUUAUUUGUUGCAGCAGACAAAAGCCAUCCUGACUCUGAAGAUAUUUACAUGUCUUUGAAGAGCCUUCUUCUAGAAUUAAAACAUGAAGGUUACGUUCCCAGGCCAGACAUAUGUUAUACCACGCAACCAGACAACACCACCCAGAAGUGGCGAGUUGACUUGCUUGUGCAUUAG